rnacentral:rRNA from 1 species
CCCUUAGAUGUUCUGGGCCGCACGCGCGCUACACUGAUGCAUUCAACGAGUCUAAAACCUGGUCUGAUAGGGCUGGGUAAUCUUUUGAAUGUGCAUCGUGAUUGGGAUAGAUGAUUGCAAUUCUUCAUCUUCAACGAGGAAUGCCUAGUAAACGCAAGUCAUCAGCUUGCAUUGAUUACGUCCCUGCCCUUUGUACACACCGCCCGUCGCUCCUACCGAUUGAAUGUUCCGAUGAAUACCAUGGACUGAGAGUAUGAAUGGGUUCGCCUAUUUCUGCUUCUCGGGAAGUGGAGUAAAUCUUAACAUUUAGGGGAAGGAGAAGUCGUAACA